rnacentral:rRNA from 1 species
GGAUCAUUAAAGAGUUUAAUAAAACUCCUAAACCCCUGUGAACUUACUGGUGUUUGGCUCGCCAGAUAUAGUCUAGUCCGUAAGCAAAUCGACUGCCUGCCUGUGUAACAGGCAGGUAAGCUUUUGUCGCGGGGUCCCGGAUCAACCCGGGCUAGAUAGCCACUUAACUAUAUACUUUUUAUAAAAUCUGUGAACUUACUAGGUUGGAUUCUCGCCAGAGAUAGUCUGGUUUCUGCUUCGCGGAUCGCCUACCCGUGACACCUGUCACAGGCAGGUAUGCUUCUGCCGCGGGUCCGUAAGUAAAUCAUCUGUUUCGCAAGGGACGGCGAUUUACCUGUGGAAGAGGUCCGCUAACUAUAUUCUUAGUAUAGUUUGUUCACUAGAUCAAACAUUCUGAAUAAAAACUUAAACUAGUUAAAACUUUCAACAACGGAUCUCUUGGUUCUGGCAUCGAUGAAGAACGCAGCGAAAUGCGAUAAGUAAUGUGAAUUGCAGAAUUCAGUGAAUCAUCGAAUCUUUGAACGCACAUUGCGCCCAUUAGUAUUCUAGUGGGCAUGCCUGUUCGAGCGUCAUUUCAACCCUUAAGCCCCUGUUGCUUAGCGUUGGGAGCCUACAGCCUGCUGUAGCUCCUUAAAGGUAGUGGCGGAGUCGGUUCACACUCUAGACGUAGUAAAAUCUUUAUCUCGCCUAUGGAUGAGCCGGCGCCUUGCCGUAAAACCCCUAAUCUUUCACAAGGUUGACCUCGGAUCAGGUAGGAAUACCCGCUGAACUUAAGCAUAUCAAUAAGCGGAGGAAAAGAAACCAACAGGGAUUGCCCUAGUAACGGCGAGUGAAGCGGCAACAGCUCAAAUUUGAAAUCUGGCCUUCGGGUCCGAGUUGUAAUUUGCAGAGGAUGCUUUGGGCGCGGUGCCUUCCGAGUUCCCUGGAACGGGACGCCUUAGAGGGUGAGAGCCCCGUACGGUUGGACACCAAGCCUCUGUAAAGCUCCUUCGACGAGUCGAGUAGUUUGGGAAUGCUGCUCUAAAUGGGAGGUAAAUUUCUUCUAAAGCUAAAUAUUGGCCAGAGACCGAUAGCGCACAAGUAGAGUGAUCGAAAGAUGAAAAGCACUUUGAAAAGAGGGUUAAAUAGCACGUGAAAUUGUUGAAAGGGAAGCGUUUGCGACCAGACCUUUUCCCAGCGGAUCAUCCGGUGUUCUCACCGGUGCACUUCGCUGGGUUGAGGCCAGCAUCGGUUUCCGCAGGGGGAUAAAAGCCUGGGGAACGUAGCUCCCUCGGGAGUGUUAUAGCCCCUCGCAUAAUACCCUUGCGGGGACCGAGGACCGCG